AGAAAAGAAAAUCAAACAUAAAUAGAAACCUGAAUCGCAUGACUUCAGCUGAGUUAUCUAAUCAUAUUUUGUCUUUUGUGUAACUGUAGUAAUUAUUUAAGAGGACUGCAUUUGUAAUCACUUCCUAACACAUGCUGACCCCAACUUCUCAAAGCAACUGCACGAUUGGGACAAGGAAUAGGCGAAUGUUGUCAUGGGCUUAUGUCAGAGUCACAAUGCUCCAUUCAGCUGGUCUGCAGGCUCCCCAAAACAGAGCUGACAGAGCGAUGCAAGCAAAACAAGAUCCAAGCCCUGAUGUGAACUCGGAACACAAUGUUCUCUGCUCCUCCACACAGCUGGAUUACACACACAGUCUUACAGUAACAGCUGCCAGUAGGGAGGGACGGGGGGAAUGGGAGAAGGACCAGGGGUCCGAGAGGGAAGACAGAGUGAGUCCUCGCCUCCACAAUGCUUAAACAGAGAUAAGAGCUGGUCAGCACACUGCGCUCCACAGCAAAGCAGGUCGUAUUAAACGGGGUUCUGUUCCUCGCAGAGACACUUAAUCUUGUUAACUGCAGCUGAGGUCACUGCAUUGAGGAGGACACAUAAUAAACCGAGGUGCACGUCAGGCCCUGCUAUCUCGAGGUGUGGCCGUGGAAAAUGCGUCACAAGCAGAGGACAGUGACUGACGGAUGAGCAGGGAGACAAGUCAAGCUUGUGGAGUGUCUUGGUGGUCCAGUGGAGCCACAAACCUCAAUGUCCUCAUUUUGGUCUGGCUGGUUGAUCUGAUUUUUUGACACCACCGCGUCGUCGCUGAAGUAGGGCACCAUCUUGGCCCCGCAGCAGGAGCAGAAGCUGGCCGCCGACGAGGUGUCGGAGCCGGACACCGUACCGAGGG